UGGCUCAGAGUGAACGCUGGCGGCAGGCCUAACACAUGCAAGUCGAACGGCAGCACAGGAGAGCUUGCUCUCUGGGUGGCGAGUGGCGGACGGGUGAGGAAUACAUCGGAAUCUACCUUUUCGUGGGGGAUAACGUAGGGAAACUUACGCUAAUACCGCAUACGACCUUCGGGUGAAAGCAGGGGACCUUCGGGCCUUGCGCGAUUAGAUGAGCCGAUGUCGGAUUAGCUAGUUGGUGAGGUAAAGGCUCACCAAGGCGACGAUCCGUAGCUGGUCUGAGAGGAUGAUCAGCCACACUGGAACUGAGACACGGUCCAGACUCCUACGGGAGGCAGCAGUGGGGAAUAUUGGACAAUGGGCGCAAGCCUGAUCCAGCCAUGCCGCGUGGGUGAAGAAGGCCUUCGGGUUGUAAAGCCCUUUUGUUGGGAAAGAAAAGCAGUCGAUUAAUACUCGAUUGUUCUGACGGUACCCAAAGAAUAAGCACCGGCUAACUUCGUGCCAGCAGCCGCGGUAAUACGAAGGGUGCAAGCGUUACUCGGAAUUACUGGGCGUAAAGCGUGCGUAGGUGGUGAUUUAAGUCCGUUGUGAAAGCCCUGGGCUCAACCUGGGAAUUGCAGUGGAUACUGGGUCACUAGAGUGUGGUAGAGGGUAGCGGAAUUCCCGGUGUAGCAGUGAAAUGCGUAGAGAUCGGGAGGAACAUCUGUGGCGAAGGCGGCUACCUGGACCAACACUGACACUGAGGCA
rnacentral:rRNA from 1 species